AGUGAACGCUGGCGGUAGGCCUAACACAUGCGGUCGAACGGCAGCACAGUAAGAGCUUGCUCUUACGGGUGGCGAGUGGCGGACGGGUGAGGAAUACAUCGGAAUCUACUUUUUCGUGGGGGAUAACGUAGGGAAACUUACGCUAAUACCGCAUACGACCUACGGGUGAAAGCAGGGGAUCUUCGGACCUUGCGCGAUUGAAUGAGCCGAUGUCGGAUUAGCUAGUUGGCGGGGUAAAGGCCCACCAAGGCGACGAUCCGUAGCUGGUCUGAGAGGAUGAUCAGCCACACUGGAACUGAGACACGGUCCAGACUCCUACGGGAGGCAGCAGUGGGGAAUAUUGGACAAUGGGCGCAAGCCUGAUCCAGCCAUACCGCGUGGGUGAAGAAGGCCUUCGGGUUGUAAAGCCCUUUUGUUGGGAAAGAAAAGCAGCAGGUUAAUACCCCGCUGUUCUGACGGUACCCAAGGAAUAAGCACCGGCUAACUUCGUG
rnacentral:rRNA from 1 species